CCUCUCUGCUAAACAACCUCAACAACUUCUUUGCUCGUUUUGAGGCAGACAACAGCACCCCAGCACAGAAGACGCCACCUUCUCCUGGCGACCAGGUACUGACGCUUUCCCGGGAUAGCGUGAAGCGAUCCCUCCAGAGAACAAAUGCACGGAAAGCGCCAGGUCCCGACAACAUCCCAGGUCGUGUCCUGAGAGACUGUGCAGAGGAGCUCACAGAUGUCCUCACCGACAUCUUCAACUCGUCACUGAGCCAAGCUGUUGUCCCCACAUGCUUCAAAGCCACCACCAUCAUCCCGGUCCCCAAGAAGCCGAGUCCAUCCUGCUACAAUGACUACCGCCCGGUCGCACUAACCCCCAUCCUCAUGAAGUGCUUCGAGCGGCUGGUCAUGCAGCACAUCAAGUCUGCCCUCCCCUCCACCCUGGACCCCUACCAGUUUGCAUAUCGGCCUAACCGAUCGACCGACGACGCCAUCUCCACUGCCCUCCACUCAGCCCUCACCCACCUGGAGACCAAGGACGCCCACGUCAGAAUGCUGUUCAUCGACUUCAGCUCAGCAUUCAACACCAUCAUCCCGCAGCAGCUCAUCCACAAACUGGACAACCUGGGCCUAAGCACCCCCAUGUGCAACUGGCUGCUGGACUUCCUGACAGGGAGACCACAGGCAGUUCGGGUCGGCAGUAACACCUCCAGCACCAUCAUGAUGAACACGGGGGCCCCCCAAGGAUGUGUGCUGAGCCCCCUCCUCUUCACUCUGCUGACCCAUGACUGCGCCCCAUCUUCCAGCUCCAACCUCUUCGUUAAGUUCGCGGACGACACGACUGUGGUGGGUCUCAUCAACAACAACGAUGAGUCAAUCUACAGGAGUGAGGUGAGCAGGCUGGCCUCGUGGUGCAAGGACAAUAAUCUCCAUCUGAACGUUGAGAAGACGAAGGAGAUUGUUGUGGACUUCAGGAGAACGCACACCCAGCAUGCUCCUCUGACCAUCGAUGGUGCUGCAGUGGAGAGGGUGAGCAGCACCAAGUUCCUGGGUGUGCACAUCUCCGAAGACCUGUCCUGGUGCCUCAACUCUGCAUCACUGGCCAAAAAAGCUAAUCAGCGCCUCUACUUCCUCCGCAAACUGAGGAGAGCAAGAGCCCCAUCCUCCAUCAUGCACACAUUCUACAGUGGCACCAUUGAGAGCAUCAUGUCCAGCUGC
rnacentral:lncRNA from 1 species